rnacentral:rRNA from 1 species
CAAGAUACCUGGAAUGGUUUUUGAUUAAAAUCUAUAUGGCCUUUGGAUUGGACUGCGACCGAUCAGGCUGUUGGUGAGGUAAUGGCCCACCAAACCUGUAACCGGUACGGGCUCUGAGAGGAGGAGCCCGGAGAUGGGUACUGAGACAAGGACCCAGGCCCUAUGGGGCGCAGCAGGCGCGAAACCUCUGCAAUAGGCGAAAGCCUGACAGGGUUAUUCUGAGUGACUUUCGCUAAGAAAGUCUUUUGACGCCUCUAAAAAUGGUGUAGAAUAAGGGGUGGGCAAGUCUGGUGUCAGCCGCCGCGGUAAUACCAGCACCCCGAGUGGUCGGGACGAUUAUUGGGCCUAAAGCAUCCGUAGCCGGCUUUACAAGUCCUCCGUUAAAUCCAACUGCUUAACAGAUGGGCCGCGGAGGAUACUAUAAGACUAGGAGGCAGGAGAGGCAAGCGGUACUCAGUGGGUAGGGGUAAAAUCCGUUGAUCCAUUGAAGACCACCAGUGGCGAAGGCGGCUUGCCAGAAUGCGCUCGACGGUGAGGGAUGAAAGCUGGGGGAGCAAACCGGAUUAGAUACCCGGGUAGUCCCAGCUGUAAACGAUGCAGACUCGGUGAUGGACUAGCUUCAUGCUAGUCCAGUGCCGCAGGGAAGCCGUUAAGUCUGCCGCCUGGGUAGUACGGUCGCAAGACUGAAACUUAA